rnacentral:lncRNA from 1 species
GUCUUACUCUGUUCACCCAGGCUGGAGUGCAGUGGCGUGGUUUUGGCUCACUGCAACCUCUGCCACCCAGGUUCAAGCAAUUCUCCUACCUCAGCCUCCCGAGUAGCUGGGAUUACAGGCACCUGCCACAGCGCCCUGCUAAUUUUUGUAUUUUUAGUAGAGACGGGGUUUCACCAUAUUGGUCAGGCUGAUCUUGAACUCCUGACCUCGUGAUCCACCUGCUUCGGCCUCCCAAAGUGCUGGGAUUACAGGUGUGAGCCACCACGCCUGGCUCACCUCACAUGUUUUUAAAAGAUCCAGUGGCCUGAUGGCUCUUGGUGCUCUUCCCAGAUGAUGGUAAAAUGCUCAGUGUGGACCAAGAGAAGCCUGACCCUGACAAAUAUCCUUUUUUCUUUACACAUCUGAAUUUUGAUGAGCUCUGAAGGGAACUCGAUUUCUCCGCAGCCGUCCUGAGUUCUGUGGUGCUUAGUGUCUGAUGCCUUCAUCUUCCUUUAGUUUCAACACUGUGUAUAACUUAGUCCUCUCCAGGACCUGUCCCCCAGCUCUGGGGAGGGACCAAAGCUGUACAGUAGGUGAAUAGUGAGUAACUGGAUGAAGUGUUCUUUUGUCUCUCUGAAUGCUCCCCAGAGCCAUAAGGAAUUAAUGAUCUUAGCUACCGGGCUGGGAGCAGUGGCUCACACCUGUAAUCCCAGCACCUUGGCAAGCCAAGAUGGGAGGAUCGCUUGAGGCCAGGAGUUCGAGACCAGCCUGGGCAACAGUGAGGCCCUGUCUCUACAACAAACAAGCAAACAAACAAACAAGAACAACAAAAAAACUCAGCUACCACUUCAUGAGUAUCUAUGCUGCGCCAGGGACUACUUCAGGGGUGAAGGGAGCGUGUCUUUUCUAAAACCUCCCAGCUGUACAGUUCCAAUGACAGAAACUUCACUCUGCUGUCCACACCACUCUUCCAACGAGACCUAGCCUGGAUUCUAGGCAGGGAAUAACAUCAGGGCUCAAUCAGAGUAGCCUGUAUGCCUCUGAAGGACAGUGUCCUGCAAAAGGUAGGCCCUUGAAUUGUCUAAUGAGCUCCACUUCAGACCCCUGGGGCUUGAUUGGAUUGUCAUUACGACGUUGUCAUUCACUUCUUUCUCUGGACCCCUGCAG